AAUGAGACAUCUGGAAAGAAUAACCGCACACCAGCAGACGACAUGGUGUACAUUGAGAGAGCAGAGGAGAAUCUGAAGCAGAAAGGAGUGGUACGAAGACAGUUCCCAGUGAAGCUGGCCUUUGCAUGUACAAUACAUAAGGUACAGGGAAUGACAACCACAUCAGCUGUUGUCUCUCUUAAGAGCAUUUUUGAGCCCGGCAUGGCCUACGUAGCUGUCAGUAGAGUGACGUCUCUCAAUGGACUCUAUCUUCUUGAUAUGGAGGAGAAAAAAAUAUUCACCAAUCCAGAAAUCACUGCAGCACUUGAGAACAUGAGACAAGCCAACCUUGAUGACAUGAUGCCUCUUCUACAUGUGAGACAAACACUGAGCAGGUCAGAGGUUUUCACCAUUGUUCAUCAUAAUACAGAGGGACUGCCAGCUCACAUUAAUGACAUCAAGAGUCACCAUGAAUUGUGUCUAGCAGAUGUUUUGUGCCUAACAGAAACACACCUGCGGGGCUCUUUUGUCGCAGAGAGUCUCCAUUUGGAAAAUUACAAUUUGUUCAAACGCAACAGACACCUGUCCUACACAAACUUUCCCCAGAUGGCAAACAGAAAUGGUGGUGGAGUUGCUGUUUAUGUGAAAAGUGACAUUCAAGUGCAUGAAAAACAGUACAUCCAUAAUGUAACUGACCUUGAAUUUCUGGCUUUAAAGGUUGAAGCACCAGUCAGUGCUCUAAUUGCAGUUGUGUACAGACCUCCAGACUACACUCUGAGGCCAUUCCUGAAAAACCUGGUGUUUCCCUCUGUGAUCCAUCCCCUUCAGAGCUGAGACACUCAGGACUGAACAGACUGCACAGUUUCUGUGACCGAGCCUCCAAAACACCUUCUUUGAAACCACACAUGAUAGAAGGGCUUUAUAUUUGCAGCAGCACUACUAAAGUCGGCAGGAAUGUUGCUGCAGGAAAACAUCCCUGAAGAUCACCAUCAUUGUCAGACUGACUGUGCCUCCUCUGUGCAGUGUCAAGAUCCUCCCUAAAUGAGUGUGUAAGUUCAUUAUUUUAUUCCCUAUGACAAGACAAGUAUCACUGAUAUUUACAUUUACAACUACAUAUGUUCCUGUUUUCUGCUCCUCAGCUAUCCUGCUUCUGUGCUGCUUGCCACACAUCAAACACUGGCCGGAUGACAGGGAGGAUCCACUCUGAAGUCACUGGACAUGAUGAGGAUCAUAUGGGACUUUAUAGUUUCACAGAAAUGUUGUGCUCUUUGAUUACAGGUUUUAAAUGGACAUAAUGACUGCCUCUCUCUGAUCUGACAGGCUAAAGGAUUGUUUUCAUUGUUAGUGCUCUGUACAGUGUAUGCUUAUUUAAUAUUUCAUCACAGAGCAAACCUUUAUUUAUUUAACAUAUUUUUAUUUUGUUUUAAUGUUGAAUUAACUGUGGGGAUUUUUUUAAGUGGGCACUCGGGAUGUCAUAUGACCAGAAAUGUGGUAACUGGAAUUCAACAGUAUGUAAAGAAAGAAUCUGCUAAGAACAUAACACACACAAAAACCCCCAAGAGAACUCAAAUUCGUUCCAUGUAAUCCAAUCUAAAACAUUUUAAACUGCUGAACAGCAACACAAACAGUGUUAAAGAAACAGUGUUAACAGAAUAAUUAUGAUGAGUUUGUACCAAAGUUUCAGGUCACAUGGCACACCUAGUGUGUAGUGUGGGGUAUCAGCUGGUAAGUAUAGGUUUUUUCAUAUUUGUGUCCUUAGAGUUUAGAUAGAUAAAGCCUUGUGUAUAAUAAUUAGUCAUAACCACAACUCAAAGUCAGGGAUUAACUAAAUUUGGGACUUUGUGUCUGAGCCCAGGUUAAAACACAGUGUAAAAAAGCAUUUAGUGGCAUGGCUGAACAAUGCUGUAAACUAAUGAUACUUAUUUAUCCAUGUUCACAAAAAGGACUAAUGUGUUCAUUUGAUUAUUUGUAUGUGUUAAACUGUGUCACCACCUUAGGCUUUCGUUUGAGUUCACUCAAAAAUCUCUAUACAGUUCUCUUUUACCACUGUGUGGACUCUGUUUACAAUAAAACAUAAAAAAGAAUGAGUAAUAAAAAGAUGUGUAGACAGAUCAGUAGAUUCAGUAGACCAAUAUUAGCAGCUGUUCAGCCAUGUUCUACGAAACAAACACAAUUUAAAGGUUCAGGAUUGUGGUUUUAAAAGUUGAAUUUUCAUGUAUUUCAUAUGUUGCUUAUUAUUUUUAUUUGGUUAUUUAAUUUAGUUAUUUUUAUUUAUUCUCCUGU